rnacentral:lncRNA from 1 species
GUUAAAGUACAAUGAAUCAAGAAACAUGUUAAUGAUGAUCCUAACUAAUAUUUGUCUAAAAACAAAGAGCAAACAUACCUAUAGCGACAAAGCAAGGCACAACAAAGAGAAGGUACAUGAGAAAAAUCACGACGGUCGACUUCAUUUUCAAUUACUUAUAAACAGUUAUGAACUUUUGAGUGUUUUUGUUUUGAAUGGUAAUACUUGGAAUACAUGAUAGCCUUAUAUUUAUAAUAGCAUGGACAGAUAAAACACUCGUGUCUUGUCUUCAUUUAUAUUUAAUUGGGCAAUUCUCUCAGAUAACUUUUUUUUUUUAAGUUUUUGUCACAAAUGAUCUUCAAUAAAAAAUGAUGAAAAUAGUUUUUUUUUUCUGAAAAAUUUAAUAUUUUUUUUUAAAAAAAAAAAAUUUAAAAUCCUAUUUUCAAAAUCCAACCUGUUAACUCUAAAUAAGUUUAGAUUAGUUAAUCUUAAAGUAUAAAUAUAUUUUUACAUUUUAAUAAAAAAAACUUUUUUUGAUCAUUUUUCUCAUUGAAAGCUAUUUUGUGACAUAACUUAAAAAAUGAUAUUCUAGUGAAUUUCUCUAUUUUUUAUUUCCCAAUAUUUUCUUGUGAUAUUUAUUCUGUUCUACUAUAAAUAUUUAUUAUCGUAAGCUUAAUCUUUUUGGCUAAACAAUUUUCAGAUCAGUAUGCAAAACGGGACAAUUAUUCAAUUACUAACAUGGUUAAUAUUUUCUGCAUGUUCAUCUGAAUUAUGUUUAUAACUUUCUUAUUAUUGAAUUAGGGUAUGUGACUAGUAUUUUAUAUGCAUGAUUUUUCUCAACUGAUUAAAAUGCUUCAACAGGUAUGCUCCUGUCCUGACUUCCGUGCCGGCAUAAACAGGCAAGACAUUGUGGACGGUUUAAAAGAAGGCGACGUAAUUAAUUAUUUUUCACGACCAUACAUCAUAAACUGGAGUAUAAAAUAGUUUCAAUAGGGAGAACAACCUACAAAAUAAAAUAAAAAAGAAAUAGGAGAAGACAAGUUCAUGUGUAAGAGACAAUACUAGCUAGCUUAUUAUCUCAUGGCUUCCAAGCUGAACUCGUGUUCCAAUCUAUUCAUUCCUUUUUGUUUUUGCAGGAACUCGUAUUUAAUAAUGAACAAUAGUACUAUCUAAUCAUAAGAGCUUGUCUUUUUUUUUUUUUUGGUCUAACAGCUUGUCUAAAACUGUAAUUGCAUAUGGAAAAGAUAGACCAGUGCAUAUUGAAAGUACUUGUAACUAUACGUAGUUAAAUAUAUAUAUACAUGUAACUAUAUACUUUUGUUUUUUAUUGACGCCAUACACAGUUGACAUGUAUUUUCUGUUAUUUUUGGCGGUGAUAUAAAAAUGCAUAUACAUUAUUUUGGAGAAAUCGCUG